CGGCAGGCUUAACACAUGCAAGUCGAGGGGUAACAUUGUGCUUGCACAGAUGACGACCGGCGCACGGGUGCGUAACGCGUAUAGAACCUACCUUUUACAGAGGAAUAGCCUUUAGAAAUGAAGAUUAAUGCCUCAUGGUAUUGUAGACUGGCAUCAGUUUAUAAUUAAAGAUUUAUCGGUAAAAGAUGGCUAUGCGUCCUAUUAGUUAGUUGGUAAGGUAACGGCUUACCAAGACAGCGAUAGGUAGGGGUCCUGAGAGGGAGAUCCCCCACACUGGUACUGAGACACGGACCAGACUCCUACGGGAGGCAGCAGUGAGGAAUAUUGGACAAUGGAGGAGACUCUGAUCCAGCCAUGCCGCGUGUAGGAAGAAUGCCCUAUGGGUUGUAAACUACUUUUAUACAGGAAGAAACACUGGUAUGUAUACCAGCUUGACGGUACUGUAAGAAUAAGGACCGGC
rnacentral:rRNA from 1 species